AUUGAACGCUGGCGGCAGGCCUAACACAUGCAAGUCGAACGAGUGGCGGACGGGUGAGUAAUGUCUGGGAAACUGCCCGAUGGAGGGGGAUAACUACUGGAAACGGUAGCUAAUACCGCAUACCAUCGGAUGUGCCCAGAUGGGAUUAGCUAGUAGGUGGGGUAACGGCUCACCUGGGCGACGAGCCCUAGCUGGUCUGAGAGGAUGACCAGCCGCACGGGAACGGAGACACGGUCCAGACUCCUACGGGAGGCAGCAGAGGGGAAUAUGGCACAGUGGGCGCAAGCAUGAUGCAGCGAGGGCGAGUGUGUGAAGAAGGCCUUCGGGUUGUAAAGUACUUUCAGCGAGGAGGCGGUAGUCGCAGAAGAAGCACCGGCUAACUCCGUGCCAGCAGCCGCGGUAAUAC
rnacentral:rRNA from 1 species